UGGGAUAUAGCUCAGUUGGUUAGAGCGCUACCUUGACAUGGUAGAGGUCAGCGGUUCGAAUCCGCUUAUCCCAACCA
rnacentral:tRNA from 1 species